CCAUCUGACGUCGAAACACCAGAUCUCUUUCGAUCACCAGUUAAGCAACGUUGAGCCUGGUCAGUACCUAGAUGGGUGAUGGCCUGGGAAUGCCG